rnacentral:rRNA from 1 species
GGGAGGCAGCAGUGAGGAAUAUUGGUCAAUGGACGAGAGUCUGAACCAGCCAAGUAGCGUGAAGGAUGACUGCCUAUGGGUUGUAAACUUCUUUUAUACGGGAAUAAGUGAGGCACGUGUGCCUUUUUGUAUGUACCGUAUGAAUAAGGAUCGGCUAACUCCGUGCCAGCAGCCGCGGUAAUACGGAGGAUCCGAGCGUUAUCCGGAUUUAUUGGGUUUAAAGGGAGCGUAGGCGGACGCUUAAGUCAGUUGUGAAAGUUUGCGGCUCAACCGUAAAAUUGCAGUUGAUACUGGGUGUCUUGAGUACAGUAGAGGCAGGCGGAAUUCGUGGUGUAGCGGUGAAGUGCG